UAACCAAUCAAGCCUGGCUUGGUAUUGGAGCCCGCUGUCCGGCGGCUCUUAAAUGCAGUGGCAGCGCCGCUGAGCUCUAAGCGUAGUAAAUUUUCUCGCUAUAGGGUUCUUGUAGUGGCUCGCCAUAACCCCCUCAUUUUUUAA
rnacentral:misc_RNA from 1 species